AUGGGAGACCGCCUGGGCAAUACCAGGUGCUGUAAGCAUUUUC
rnacentral:rRNA from 1 species